rnacentral:misc_RNA from 1 species
CUGAAUAAAGUGUGGUCGGGGUUGUUGCUGGCAUCCUUGGAUGCAUGUGCACACCUCAGCCACUCUGUCAUUCACCCUCUCCACCUGUGCACCUCUUGUAGACUUGGGAUAGACUUUCCGAGGCAACUCGGUCUGGAGGAAUGCUGCUCAAGCUUUCUUUGUAUUUCCCAGUCUACGUUUUUUAUAUACCCCAUAGCAUGUAACAGAAUGUAUCAUUUGGGCCCUUGUGCCUAUAAACCUUAUA